rnacentral:rRNA from 1 species
UACAGAGGUCUCAAGCGUUGUUCGGAUUCAUUGGGCGUAAAGGGUGCGUAGGCGGCGCGGUAAGUCGGGUGUGAAAUCUCGGAGCUUAACUCCGAAACUGCAUUCGAUACUGCCGUGCUUGAGGACUGGAGAGGAGACUGGAAUUUAUGGUGUAGCAGUGAAAUGCGUAGAUAUCAUAAGGAAGACCAGUGGCGAAGGCGGGUCUCUGGACAGUUCCUGACACUGAGACACGAAGGCCAGGGGAGCAAACGGG